rnacentral:rRNA from 1 species
AACGAACGCUGGCGGCAUGCCUAACACAUGCAAGUCGAACGAGACCUUCGGGUCUAGUGGCGCACGGGUGCGUAAAGCGUGGGAACCUGCCCUUAGGUUCGGAAUAACUCCCCGACAGGGGUGCUAAUACCGGAUAAUGUCUUCGGACCAAAGAUUUAUCGCCUUUGGAUGGGCCCGCGUUGGGUUAGCUAGUUGGUAGGGUAAAAGCCUACCAAGGCGACGAUCCAUAGCUGGUCUGAGAGGAUGAUCAGCCACACUGGGACUGAGACACGGCCCAGACUCCUACGGGAGGCAGCAGUGGGGAAUAUUGGACAAUGGGCGAAAGCCUGAUCCAGCAAUGCCGCGUGAGUGAUGAAGGCCUUAGAGUUGUAAAGCUCUUUUACCCGUGAUGAUAAUCACAGUACCGGGAGAAUAAGCUCCGGCUAACUCCGUG